rnacentral:lncRNA from 1 species
GCGCGCGCCUCCUCCCACGGCGCCGGCGGCACGGACGGCAUGCCGAGAUGAUCGGCGAGCCGCGCCACCACGUGCGGGUGGCCCCUAGCGCCUGCGUCACAAAUGCACGCGGCCCAGUCCACCGGCUGCGAGGGGGCGCGGCGCUCCAGUGCAUAUUCGAGGCCGGCGAGGUCGCCGGCGGCGCACAUGCCCUCGACCGUGGCGUCGGCGUAGCGUCGCGCCUUUAGGUCGCCCGCGCUGAGCACGUGAAAGCAGCGCGCGGCGCACAGACACGCGCCGAGGUCAUAGUCGGACGGACACCACAGGAGGAUCUCGCGCCACAGUUCAGCGGGCAGCCGAUCCCAUCGGGGCGUCGCGUCGGCCUCGUGGUCCGCAGGAUGCGGUGGCGUCUCUUUCAUCGCGCAGAGUUUGCCCUCGCGCCCGGCACCUUUUUCCCCCAUACGUCCUCCUUUUUUUUUGCUAAAACUCGCACUUUUUUGCCGCACCGGCGUGCCUUUUGGACCAUGGCCGUAGGCGAUCGCUGCGCAAGAGAGCGAUCCUUUUUCUUUUUUUUUUUCUCCCGUGCCUUGCAGCGCAGCGGCCGUUGGCCGCGUUCGCCUUGGCCAGUGCCCACGUAUGGUCAGUUGACCGAUGGUCGACCACGGACCUUGGCCAUUUGGUUUGGCGUGAUUGAGUUGGAAUGUACGAAACUUGUGCCGACAAAGCAAAGUAGAAUAAAAGGACCGCGGCGUGGACACGCGCACAAAGUAAACUCCCUUUGUGCGUUCCGGCUUGGGAGCGAGCGCACACUCAAACCCAAAUGCGAGUGCUGCGACCGGUCCGCAGCCGCACUUGGACUCGACUCGGAAUAACCAGUUUUAUCCAAGCAUUUCCGUUUUCGUACUGACUCCAUGCUGUUUAUUGACGACCCGACCCGACCCGACCCCACCAGUGUCGACCAAAGUCGCACCCAACCGACCAUUAGCCGAAAACAAAGUGGCCCGUCAAUCAAAUCGGCCGCCGCGCGCGCCGGGGGACCCUGGCUGUGUCGUCUCUCCCAACCCAAGCAAUAAAAAAUGGCGUGCAGCAAGCCGCUGGUGCAAGGGAAACCGAAC